rnacentral:rRNA from 1 species
AGAGUUUGAUCCUGGCUCAGGACGAACGCUGGCGGCGUGCUUAACACAUGCAAGUCGAACGGUGAAGGGACCGGUUUUUGCUGGUUCUGGAUGAGUGGCGAACGGGUGAGUAACACGUGAGUAACCUGCCCCCUUCUUCUGGAUAACCGCAUGAAAGUGUGGCUAAUACGGGAUAUUCUGCGCCUGCUGCAUGGUGGGUGUGGGAAAGAUAUUGUUUCGGUGGGGGAUGGGCUCGCGGCCUAUCAGCUUGUUGGUGGGGUGAUGGCCUACCAAGGCGGUGACGGGUAGCCGGCCUGAGAGGGUGGACGGUCACACUGGGACUGAGACACGGCCCAGACUCCUACGGGAGGCAGCAGUGGGGAAUAUUGCACAAUGGGCGCAAGCCUGAUGCAGCGACGCCGCGUGAGGGAUGGAGGCCUUCGGGUUGUAAACCUCUUUCGCCAGUGAAGCAGGCCUGUCCCUUGUGGGUGGGUUGACGGUAGCUGGAUAAGAAGCGCCGGCUAACUACGUGCCAGCAGCCGCGGUAAUACGUAGGGCGCGAGCGUUGUCCGGAAUUAUUGGGCGUAAAGGGCUUGUAGGCGGUUGGUCGCGUCUGCCGUGAAAUCCUCUGGCUCAGCUGGGGGCGUGCGGUGGGUACGGGCUGGCUUGAGUGCGGUAGGGGAGGCUGGAACUCCUGGUGUAGCGGUGGAAUGCGCAGAUAUCAGGAAGAACACCGGUGGCGAAGGCGGGUCUCUGGGCCGUUACUGACGCUGAGGAGCGAAAGCGUGGGGAGCGAACAGGAUUAGAUACCCUGGUAGUCCACGC